rnacentral:rRNA from 1 species
CCUACGGGAGGCUGCAGUGGGGAAUAUUGGACAAUGGGGGCAACCCUGAUCCAGCCAUGCCGCGUGUGUGAAGAAGGCCCUCGGGUUGUAAAGCACUUUCAGUGAGGAAGAACGCCUGGUGGUUAAUACCCAUCAGGAAAGACAUCACUCACAGAAGAAGCACCGGCUAACUCCGUGCCAGCAGCCGCAGUAAUACGGAGGGUGCGAGCGUUAAUCGGAAUUACUGGGCGUAAAGCGCGCGUAGGUGGCUUGAUAAGCCGGUUGUGAAAGCCCCGGGCUCAACCUGGGAACGGCAUCCGGAACUGUCAAGCUAGAGUGCAGGAGAGGAAGGUAGAAUUCCCGGUGUAGCGGUGAAAUGCGUAGAGAUCGGGAGGAAUACCAGUGGCGAAGGCGGCCUUCUGGACUGACACUGACACUGAGGUGCGAAAGCGUGGGUAGCAAACAGGAUUAGAUACCCGAGUAGUC